rnacentral:rRNA from 1 species
GACGAACGCUGGCGGCGUGCCUAAUACAUGCAAGUUGAGCGCUGAAGGUUGGUCCUUGUACCAACUGGAUGAGCAGCGAACGGGUGAGUAACGCGUGGGGAAUCUGCCUUUGAGCGGGGGACAACAUUUGGAAACGAAUGCUAAUACCGCAUAAAAACUUUAAACACAAGUUUUAAGUUUGAAAGAUGCAAUUGCAUCACUCAAAGAUGAUCCCGCGUUGUAUUAGCUAGUUGGUGAGGUAAAGGCUCACCAAGGCGAUGAUACAUAGCCGACCUGAGAGGGUGAUCGGCCACAUUGGGACUGAGACACGGCCCAAACUCCUACGGGAGGCAGCAGUAGGGAAUCUUCGGCAAUGGACGAAAGUCUGACCGAGCAACGCCGCGUGAGUGCAGAAGGUUUUCGGAUCGUAAAACUCUGUUGGUAGAGAAGAACGUUGGUGAGAGUGGAAAGCUCAUCAAGUGACGGUAACUACCCAGAAAGGGACGGCUAACUACGUG